UGAACGAGACAGUACAUGAUAUUGUGAGUACUGUACUGCAAACUGAUGAUGAACAAGUUAUACAAGAUGUUUUCAAUCAGAACCUGGUUCUCACAAAGUUUGAAUGUUAUUACAUGGCAGUUGAUGCGUUUCACUCUCAUUGCUUCAAUAUUGGACAAAACGAUUAUGCUUUGAGGAUGUUAAACACUUUUGUGAACCUGUGUCAGCAUGGGAUAGAUUCAGCCGCCAUUGUUCAAGCUGUUCAGGCUACGUGUGAUCAUCCUCCAAUGACUGGAAUCUAUUGAUUGAUCGUUAGAUUGGUCGAUUAAUUUAUUGGAUGAUUGAUUAAUUGAACGAUUGAUUGAUCAAUUAUUUGGCUCAUUAUUUUAUUAAUUGAUCGACUGAUUGAUUAGUUCUUUGAUAAUAUGAACUCAUUACUGUUGAUAAUUGUUUCAAAAAUUGUAAUUUCAAAGAGAGAAACGUUAAUAAAUGUUCAAAAUUCAUAA